UACGUAGGGUGCAAGCGUUAAUCGGAAUUACUGGGCGUAAAGCGUGCGCAGGCGGUUUUGUAAGUCUGUCGUGAAAUCCCCCGGGCUUAACCUGGGAAUGGCGAUGGAGACUGCAAGGCUGGAAUCUGGCAGAGGGGGGGUAGAAUUCCACGUGUAGCAGUGAAAUGCGUAGAGAUGUGGAGGAACACCGAUGGCGAAGGCAGCCCCCCUGGGCUAAGAUUGACGCUCAUGCACGAAAGCGUGGGGAGCAAACAGG
rnacentral:rRNA from 1 species